rnacentral:misc_RNA from 1 species
GGAGAAUGGCGAGUCCGAGUAUCAAAGGAUUAAACUAUUUAUUUUUAGACACGCAUACUGUGGUAGAAUGGUAGUAAUAAAUUUGAAAUGUGUUAAAGGAUAGCUAGUGCUUAAAUUAUGUAGAUGCUCUUGGUUGUUGUGUGCUCUACUUCUCUUGAUCUGUAAUAGGAUCUCUAAGGUUUAGGGGCCGAGUUAAGGGGCAAUUGCUUAAUGAAUGGUAAAUGUCUUGGUGCAACUGCAAGAUUGUAGGUUUGAAUAAGAAUAUCCGUUUUGUGCAUAAAUGUUGAUGGUUAGGAGGAUUACCUCCAAAUUUUCUCAUAAGCCCCACUUUUAUGGGACACUGCUAUGUAAUAGUAUUUCUUUUGAGUGACUAAUUAUAUUUGGUAUGCAUACAGGGUAGAUUCUACUUUGGAGAGUUUGUUGAUGAGGCUACAGACUGUGAUGAGAACAUUUCAGCAUUGCAUGCAGGAAUAGCAGAAGUAGCUGCUGCUAAGGCUCGGAUGUUUGUUAACAAACCAGAUGGAAGUAUGUCUUUUUGAUGCCAUUGAAAUUACUUCUUGUUGGAAUCCUACAUCGAAA